CCCGCUGAACUUAAGCAUAUCAAUAAGCGGAGGAAAAGAAACUAACAAGGAUUCCCCUAGUAACGGCGAGUGAAGAGGGAAAAGCUCAAAUUUGUAAUCUGGCGGUCUCUGGCCGUCCGAGUUGUAAUUUGGAGAGGCGUCUUCCGCGUCGGACCACGUACAAGUCCCCUGGAACGGGGCGUCGUAGAGGGUGAGAAUCCCGUUCACGACGUGGACUACCGAGGCUAUGUGAUGCGCCCUCGAAGAGUCGAGUUGUUUGAGAAUGCAGCUCAAAAUGGGUGGUAAAUUCCAUCUAAAGUUAAAUACUGGCGAGAGACCGAUAGCGAACAAGUACCGUGAGGGAAAGAUGAAAAGAACUUUGGAAAGAGAGUUAAACAGUACGUGAAAUUGCUGAAAGGGAAACGCUUGGAGUCAGUCGCUUCGCCGAGGAUUCAGCCGGCCUUCUGUUCGGUGUACUUCCACGGUGAGGGGUCAGCAUCGAUUUCAGUUGCGGGAGAACGGCGUGAGGAAUGUGGCACCUCCGGGUGUGUUAUAGCCUCGCGUCACGACCGUGGCCGGGAUCGAGGACCGCAGCGCGCCCGCAAGGGUCGAGGCUUGCCUUCGAAACGCGCUUAGGAUGCUGGCGUAAUGGCUCUAAGCGACCCGUCUUGAAACACGG
rnacentral:rRNA from 1 species